AGAGAGGAGCAGGAGUGAGGACGCCGGUGCUGGGCUUGUUUUUCACUCAUCAGCUGCUUGUUUUUUAUUUAGAGUUGACAACAUUGGACACAACACAUUUCAGUGGAGGCGGCGGGAGAGGAGGUGACGGUGACCGGCAGUGAGGUAACUUAAGGAGCUGGAGUCCCACUAAGAAUAGAAGACAAGGCUGUGGAAAGAGACAGCGUGGAAAGGCUCCUUGUUCCCUGAUCUAGCCAACUAAAGAUAUAAUUUCUUCUUAAGCCUCUGAAUUUACAUGAUGAGUCUCACAGGAGAGAUACCACAUCUGUGCUCUGAGUGUGACAGAAGCUUUACAUGUAAAUCACAUCUUAUCAGACAUCAGAGGAGUCACACAGGAGAGAAACCAUUUGAAUGUUCUGAAUGCAGCAAGUGUUUUUCCCAGAAUGCACAGCUUGUUAUACACCAGAGAGUUCACACAGGAGAGAAACCAUUUGAAUGUUCUGAAUGCAGCAAGUGUUUUUUCCAGAAGUCAGAGCUGGUUAUACAUCAGAGGAGUCACACAGGAGAAAACCCAAUUACAUGUUCUGAAUGCAGCAAAUGUUUUACCAGGAAAUCAUAUCUUGUUAUACAUCAGAUGAUUCACACAGGAGAGAAACCAUUUAAAUGUUCUGAAUGUAGCAAGUGUUUUUCCCAUAAGUCACAUCUUGUUAUACAUCAGAGGAGUCACACAGGAGAGAAACCAUUUACAUGUUCUGAAUGCAGAAAGUGUUUUACUAGUAAGAAAACACUCAGUAAUCACAUGUGGAGUCACUCUGAGGGCCUGAAUGCAGCAUGUGUAUCAUAAGUAAUGUAACUUAUCACAACUGUAUGAAUUCAAUGGAACCAAUAUCUAUUUUCUGAAUGUGACAAGUGUUUUAUAUAAAUCAGUCUUAAUAAAGACAGGAGAGGUCUGACAAGUGGACCUGGAGGUACUUUUCCCCUUGGGAAGGUAUCUGUGUUAGGAACUAGAGCUGCAGUAUAACAAUAGCCAAUGACCGUGGGACUGCCAUUACUGAGCUCUGUAAUAUACAGCUGUUCUGCUCAUGCAGGUGCUGGGACUAGUAGAGAGUUCCAGCAGCUCCUCUCAGUACUGGGAUUCCUUCUCUGACCAGCAGGGUUAUGAGUACUGGGUAUAUCUACAGGAACAAUGUAUGCUGCUCUGUUUCACCAUAUGGGUUAUUGUAUGGGGUGUUAUUUUUAACCACUUUUUAGAUGCCAUUUUGUCCAUGUUUAACUCCAUUUUGUAUAUGUAUGACCUCAUUGCUUUAAAUACUGUACAUACUUUUUAUUAGGAUUAGUGCUUUGCAGACAUAUAGGCACCAGUUAGAAAUAUAGUCUCACGUUAAGUUGAAAGUUUUCUUUCACCUUUGACAUAGUGUGAAAGACAUAGUGAGUGGGAAGUGUAUACAGCUUUUAGGAUGGCUGAUUAUAAUAAAUAUAUGUUCCUGUUAUCAGUAUCUCAGAGGGAAACUGUCUAGUAAGAUGUUUGGGGUAUUGUGUACAUAAGUAGGGGAAAGGGUACAGUUGUCUAGAAUAACAUAAAUUAUGUUAUCCUGAAUGACUACUGCACCCAGCGUCACAGACCCUGAAUGUAAUAUCUGGUAAGACAAUGUUAGCAAAUCCUUGUAGGGUUAUAAAGCCUAGAGACUUACACAAAGCAAGUAGUUCUGAUGGAAGCUAGGUCUGGCUGCAGUGGACCUAGACUUCUACAAACCCCCUCCAGCUUGUAACUUGCGACAAAGUUAUUAGGCGGGACCCUGGAGAAUGACUGAACUACAUUAUUUAAACUACUUAAUCGAUGACCAUCAUCUGGGACAGAUCUUAUAACAUCUGGGAUAAGAGCUGAGUGUUCUAAUUUGUUCUUGUUAUUAUUGUAACUGACUAGAACUUGUUACUUGCAUGUUUUCAUUAUUGUAACUUUGAUAAAUGAUUAUCCUUUUUAAUA